GUGUCCAGUUUUUUCUGGAUUUGCACAUAUGUAGAUAUUUAUAUACUCCCCCAGAAGCUCUCGCGUUAAAAUAAUUCCAACUUCCGUGCCAGGCCGCAAAGUAGAUCGAUUAAUUUUAUCGACUGCGAAACAUUUCUAUCAAUCUCAUCGAACAUCAAACUUAUAGAGCCUCGCGGAAUUGCGAAACCCUGCAGCAGUCGGUAUGCGGAGCCGAGCAUCCAGGUGGUGCACUGCCGAUCUAUGCACAAUACACAUCCCAUACAUUGUAUACUGCACAUAAUUGUAAGUGCGUACCUACAGGCACGCUAUACCAGUUGGCCAACAGGGUUGAUGAGCUCGCACGUGAGUGCGGAGGACGCGCCGAGCAUGAAGUUACGGUUGGGAGUCGCGUGCUCGGCAUAAGCGCAAUGGAUUGCAAGCUCUUAAUGGCUCCUGCAUGAUAAUUUCCUAUCACGAGCGCGUAAAUUGAACGUUUCAAUAAGAAGAUGCUUGAUUGACGCGUGUAGUGCAUACACUCGACUGCAUUGUAAUUUUCGCAGCAGCGGAUGAUAUAAGAUUCCCGCAAAUUAGUUCCGCAGCAGUUUCGCGGUAGCACUUGAGCUUCGAGCAAACGAUACUCUAAUUCCCGAUAGGUGUGCCCGAAGGGCCAACGGCGUUCCGGAGCGAUAAAGCAUGCUCGCCGAGGGUGAAUCGCGUUGCGCAGCUUGUGGCGUGAUGCGCUUGCCCGCGCUGCUCGUAUAAGAGAGAGAGAGAGAGAGAGAGAGAGAGAAUGGCAGAGAAUGGCAGGCUUAUACCAGAGCGGGAUGAAAAGGGAAAAGAAGACUAAGGGCCAGGACAGCUAAAAAGGCAUAGACCACAGCCACAAGGAACAAGAAGGAACAACGGCGCUGUGUGUCGUUCUGUCGUCUUGUGUGUAUGGUCAGUCAUCCUAACCUAUUGAAAACAAACAUACCUAUUUAAAUUGGAGCAGAGAUAUUAAAUAUCUAAAUAAGUAUUUGUUUACAUUUUAAAAAUUAGUGAAUUGAUAUUUUAGAACUUCUUGAAGCCUGGCAAUAUGAAAAGAGCAAACGGUGGAUAAAUAGACGAUGGCUACGUCGUCCUAUCAAUAAAAAACGCUUAACUCAUGGAUUUUUUACAAGUCAGUUUCAAAAAAUGAAGCUUGGUAAUGAUAUCUUUUUCCAAUACGUUCGAAUGGAUGUUGACACUUUUAAUUAUUUGUUGUCAAUGGUGGAGCCUUAUAAUUGAGGAAUCGUAAGAAGAAACGAGAUGCUAUAUCUGCUGAACAGCGAUUAACUAUAACGCUAAGAUACCUUGCAAGUGGUGAUGAUAUCCUAUCAAUAGCGAUUUCAUACAGGCUAGGCAAGUCAACCGUUCAUAGCAUAAUUAAAAGAACAUGCAGCGUUAUCCAUCAAGUAUUAUCUCCUAUCUAUUUAAGACCUCCAUGCGCUCCAGUUUGGAGAAAUAUUAGCAAAGGUUUCGAACAGGAUUGGCAACUACCUGGGUGCAUUGGCGCAGUUGAUGGGAAACAUAUCUGUAUCCAAUCUCCUCCAGAUUCUGGAGCUCUUUUUUACAACUAUAUAAAGUUUCAUAGUAUUGUUUUACUUGCUGCGUGCAACCACAGAUAUGAAUUUACUGUAGUUGAAUUCGGUGCUUAUGGUAGUGAAAGUGAUGGUGGUAUAUUUUCAAGAAGUGAAUUUGGUAAAUCUUUAGACGAAGGUCGUUUAAACAUACCUACUGAAAGUGUAAAGAAGAGGAAAUUUCCAAAAGAAAACAAAUAAUGCUACAAAGCAAACUUUCAAAAGUAAAACUCAACAAAGUCCUUCAGAGUUAUUACAGGAUGAUACUACAGAGGAUGUUCUUUCAGAUUGUUUGAAUGAGUCAACCAACGAGGAAUUGCAACAGGUUCAAUAUGAAAAUAUUGAAAUUGAAUCACCCAGCUUAUUCAACGAUGAAAAUUCUACAUUGUCUCCAGGGCACAAAGAAUCAAUUGAAGAUAUGAAUAAUGAGGAUGUUGUCUCUGAAAUGGCACUAACUGAAAAUACGAUGCAAAGUCAGAAUAUUUCUAGAGAAAAUGAGACUCAGUCACAAGACAAGGUCACUAACAGUCCAAAAAGUACAACCUCUACACCUCGCACUCCUUUACUUGAUAUGACAGUUUCUUUUAAUAAUAAUAACAUCGAUAAUGAAAUGAAACAAACAUUCAAUUAAAAAAAAUAUAUCACAGGGAUGAAGAAAAUAAUGCCAUUGCUGAUUUGGUGACUAAGCGUCUACGAAAAAUUGAAGAA